GCAAGUCGAGCGAGAAAGCACUUCGGUGCGAGUACAGCGGCGGACGGGUGAGUAACGCGUAGGAAUCUACCCGGUAGUGGGGGACAACUUGUGGAAACGCAAGCUAAUACCGCAUACGCCCUAUGGGGGAAAGCGGGGGAUCUUCGGACCUCGCGCUAUCGGAUGAGCCUGCGUAGGAUUAGCUAGUUGGUGGGGUAAAGGCCUACCAAGACUACGAUGAAUAGCUGGUCUGAGAGGAUGAUC
rnacentral:rRNA from 1 species